ACUGAAAAAAAUGUUUGUUAAAUUAGUGUGAAAGGAAACGAAGACGAGGAGAGAAAGAGAGAGAAUAUUUAAGUAUUUCAAAGAAAGAAAAAAAGAAAGAAAAAAAAGCAAAAAAAAAAAAAACGGAAAAAAAAGAGAAAAAAACAAACGUAGCGAAUGAUUGAUGAGCGGCGAGCGAGAGUAUUUUCCACAAUCGACGAAUCGAUCGAGAAUCGUGCACGAAACAACGAGGACGACCACCCGGCCACGAUUGUUCGAACUGGUUUACAUAUUUUACGCCUGCUUGCGAGAAAUUCGUCGGGUGUGCCGAACGAACGUGCAGAGUCGAUACAACUCUAACGCUAACUCGAUUCUAAAGUAGAACCAAAUUCAAUUUCUCGAUUCUGUACGAUCGAUCGAGCAUUCUUCGAGUCGCGUCCGGGAUGUUCGGGAAACGCGUGAUCUUUGCUCAAUACGAGAGAGAAGCUCCUCGAUCGGUAUGCGCGUCGUCGUGCGCAAAUUUUCAUUUCGAAUCAGUCGUUGUUUGUAAUUCGUAUGUAACAGCAGAACGCAAAGGGUAGCACGAUUCUUGUUUCUCGUUGUUCGACGAUAUACCGAUAGAAUAUGCACACAGACAGAAGAAAAUGUUCCUAUCGAGAGCGCAAAGUAUUUUCUACCGACCGUAGAUCGACCAAAGACAAACAAACCUUUCUUUUCGUGGACAAGAUUCGACGCGUCGCGGUGGUGGUCGCCCUCGUCGAUGCACUGACAAACGUAAACGAACAAGAAAGCAUGGCACGGGCGUGCACACGACAAGACCAUGUGAGUUCAAAUCGCGUUGUAACGAAAACUGCCAACUUCAUAUUGCAAUAUACGUUUUAGUCAAUCGUGGCGAUGCACGGGAAAAGAAAUAAAAAAAAAAAUAAUAAUAAUAAUAAACCAGUCGACGAAACAAAGGAAUUAGAGAAAAAAAAAAAAAAAGAAAUAUAAGGACUAAGCGACUAAGGAAUUGGGAAAUCUGUCUGGAUGGGUGUUAAACACCUAGAGACCUAUUUUCGGUUGGAACGAUCGAUCGAUAGCAGGAGAAUACUCGGAGCAACGUUUCUCCCGUUAUUUUCGUUCGCACCCAGUUCGAUUUCACGACGAACGAUCCGCUGGCGUUCGCUGUACCGCCGCUUACGCUGUUCGCGUCGACGCACGGGACGAAACACGCGCGCAAGAGCUCAACGAUCUCGACGAACAUUUCGAUCAACUCGAACAUUAGCGAUGUAUCUUCGAACGGAUAAACCGUGUUCAACGUGUUUUGUAACCUGUAUCCGUUCCCUUAGGUUUCGUAGCCGAACGACAAAAAUGAACAAAGAACAAAUUUGUAUCAUCCUGCUCAAAAUAAAAUUAACACCGCCGGGUUAUAAAUAUAUACCACUGGGCGUGUCUGACUACUACACAUAACAAACAUAUGAAUUGAUUUAGCAGCCAACCUUUUUUAAUUUAGAGAAGUUUGAUUUUAGAAACGUAGAUGAGAAAAGAGAUAAACCGACGGAGAAGAACUGAAUCGGAAGAGAUACGUACAGUACGUUACGUUCGGAGUAACUCGUUGCUCAAUGAUCGGUUUUUAAGCGAAAGACAUUAAUAUUAAUACGAACAAUCCGUUUUAAUAUUGCUCGUAGCUUAUUAAAACAGAUCAAAAAAAAAGGGGGGGGGGGUGGAAGGGAAGAAUAUAACAAACAUGUGAACUUUAAUUGAUUAAUAAGAUGGUUUACAUUAGACUCGAAUAACUAUUGAAUAUUUAUACUUUAAUUUAGCCUCCCGUUGCUUUCGUACCACCUCGCGUAUUUAUUAUAACGAGAUUCUUGAGACUUUCACUUCUGACCUCACUUCUUCGCAGUUUCUUAUAUUGUUCGAGGUUCCCGUGAAUGUAAAUGAUUUUUUUUUACGACUCUAAUAAAUCUACUUUUAACGGCAUCGCAAGAACCAGCGAGUUCAUUUUGCAGGAUAGCUAACAUUCUUAGGCAAAUUAACUCUUUACGAUCCAGUGUCACGUAUGGCGUCGAGCUGAUAAACGUUUGCCAAGGAAAAAAGUGUUGACCUGCUCGUUAAAAAAGAUGAAAGAAAAUAUCGAGCAGAGAUCAGUAUCGUGAUAACGUAUUUCCCUGAAAAAUCGGAAAAUUUCUAUCGAUACGCCCUGUAUCUCGGUUGAAGUUGCACGAAAUGCCAACGAAACUUCUCGAACUGUUUUCUAAACGGGAGCCAUUCACACUUUGAAACCUCGAGCAGUAUCAGUAGACGUCGGGCGUAAAUAUACGCGAGCGUGUACUCGCCGGUGUAUUUCUGUUCUCGAGUCUGAUCAACGAGAAAGCAUGUCCCGCUUCGUAUUACGCAAGUUUGCAAUUUCGUUCGUAUAGUUGCCAGAAAUCUUUCGGAACUUGGCACGCUCCCUACCGUUCGUAAACCGCUUGAAACUUCGAAACCCAAACUCCGUAUCCGGAGCGUUCUCAUACACCAACGAAAAAUAAACGAGUUGUUCCCAGAGUGUUAGAGCAGAGCCGUGCGGAACGUCUUCGACGAGAUGGCGAUCGGACGGCGAUCGAACGGCGAUCGAACGCGACAUCGAGCCGAAUAUAAAGAUGCGGAAUUCGAGGGCCGACGAUCGGGUUAAUGGCGAUCGUGCUAAUGGACGACCGAAGGAAGAAGAACGAAAGUACGACAAGAAACGUAUUCUACGGUCGUUAACGAUAAGAAGAACAAUGUAGAUACACGCAGCGAACACGUUCACACAUGUACAUGUACGCACACGAUAAACGAGCAAAGACAAACAUACAGACACUAUCACACGCGUAUAUACAAUAUAACACGAUACUACAAUGUACACGUACAGACGAAGCAUACCCCGUAGGUUGGGUGAUUACACAUCUCGAGGCGAUUAUACAUAUAUAGGUAUAAUUAAUUAUAAAUAUAUAUAUAUAUAUAUAUAUAUAUAUAAAUAUAAAUAUAUAUACAUACCAGCACUUGGUAGAUAUAGGUACACCCAUACGUUUACCUAUACUACCUUAAGAAAAAAUAAAUAAAUAAAAUUAAAUGAACAAGAGGAAGACACUUCUACGUGGCUGCGACGCGACUAGGAGGAGAAAGAGAGCGCGAUGAGAAAGAAAGUGAUGAGAAGAAGAUACAGAACCGGAGAAAAACGGGGAGAGAAGAAUUGGACGGUGUUGCAUGUUACACGACAAGAGCGUAUAUAGCGGCAGUGCGAAUAUACAUACAUACAUACAUAACACACAAUAGCGUAGACUUAAUAGAAUCUGUGAGAGUGUGACUGACUUAAUCGAGAGAGCGUGAAUCGUACGUGAAAGAAUGUGCGUGUGUACACUAUUGCAUACGUGAGUAUUUCCGUGGUCUGUAUUUUAUUGCGGAAGUUCCUGUUCCUCGAGAAUUAACGAGAAGAAGUUUAAACGAAGACGAGAUGGCAGCGACGUUGCAAAAUACAUAUAUAACGUGUAAUCGAGACAAAAUCGAACCGCGUAAAUUACCAAGUUUUUUGUAGAUCCUUAAAGAAAGAAAAAUAAGAAAAAAAUAUAUAUAUAUAUACCGAUUGCGCGGGUGCCUCGAUAUCUGCCCGAUUGUUCGAUCUUUUUCCCUGCGUUUCGUUCGAGAAGAGUCGAGAAUAUCGUUUUGCACCGCGACCGCGAAGAUCACUUUUUGUUCGCAAAAGAAAUGAAAUAAAAUCAAUUGAGAAACGUGAUACACACACACACACACACAUAUAUAUAUAUACUUACGUAUAAUAUUUUCUUUUUGAGAUUUAAUGAAACGACGAGAAACAAUAUAAAGCGAAUAAAAGAAAAGAGAAACGGGCAGAUUACGGUACGCCCUUAAUAUAUAAUUAGCCGUGCGCCAUUAAAGAAACCGUUUUUUGUAAUAUCCGAAUAAAAUGCAUGGUCGACGACAACAUAUAUAAAUAUCAGCUCAAUUACCAUUGAUCGUCCCACAGUAAGGCGAUUGUCCGCUGAAAAAUAACCACUCCCAACCCUUCAACGAAUAACGUUAUCAGAAAGCGCGCGUACGUAGACAAAAAUUUAUUACUUUACUAGUAAUCGCGACACAGAUUGUGCGGUACAAAUGAAAAUUCUAUCGACGAAAAGAAGAAUCCUAGGCCAACUUCGAUGCUCACGAAACGCCAGAUAGAAAACUGUUCGUUAUACAAGAGAAACGUGAACGAUUUAUAUAACCUACCAAAACACCAAAGAAUACACGAAAAGCGAAACUCAACGAAAGCAACGUUCAGUCUUUGAUACUUUCCAAACCUACAUCUCUUUGUUACUCGCGUUCCACCAUUGCUCUUCUUUCUAUUUCUGUUACUUGAUUUUACAGCUAUUCUAAUAACAUUACGCUUGACCAUCGCCGUUACGCAACUAGCUGAACAAACGUUAAACCGUGCCCGCCGUGUUACGCGGAUCACGUAAAUCGAGUUACAGUUCUCUCUCGACCGACCUCAGUCCCGAUAUUUUCAACGAGCAUCUUGGCAACAACGAGGAGAACUCGUGCGAGCUUUCUUUGUAACAGGUCAAUAACACGAUACCUAUUCUAUCCUCUCCUAUUUAGCAAUACCUAUCGACACAAAGAAAAUUUUAUCUGGAUCCCGACGUAAAUUAAUAUCGAGGGACGAUGUUCAAUCAAGACAGCCAAUAUUCCAUCUCCUCGCAAGAGUUCAAGAUGAAACUCUUCUUGCGAAACAAUUUACAUUCUCGACUACGAACGAAUUCUCGACUAGUAGAAUUGAAACAAUUAUUAUGACGAUACGGUGAUUUGUCGCGAUUCGAGCAUCGCGGAAGAUAGAUAUUUUCCAUUCCCAAUUGUAGGAGCCAAAAAUUUAGUGAUUGCAUUGCAUCUGACGAUUUGUGAAAUAUGAGAUCUCUAGUGACAUAUUUGACAAAUGUUUCUUAGAUUACACUUUUAAAGAUAUUUCAUUCUGCCAGUGGAGGAUUAAUUAUCGUUCGCAUCAUUUCGUCGUGUACCGUGCUUCAUUUUUGUGUUUCCAACGACAAUUUCAUCAACCAUAGUUCACAAUCUGAGCGCAAUUCGAGACGAAACGAUUAUAUUGUAAAUAAAUCAGAUGAUAGAAGAGAGAGACAAAAGAGUGAGACAGAGAGUGUGAGAGAGAGAGGGAGAGAAUGUGAGGGAGAAAAUGUAAAUGCGAUGGGAGAAAGAGAAAGAAUGUACGCAUGAUGAGUAUAUUAAUAAGUUAUAACACACAAUCGUAUUAAAUGUCAGAAUUGGAGAAUUGGAGCUCGCGCUAACAGACGAGAAUACAUUAAAGGGACGUAAGCGUGUCCUCGCGUUCGUGUGUCGUUUAACUAAAAAAUGAUUUAAAAAGAAAUAUAUAUAUAUAUAUAUAUAAAAGAAAGAAAGAAAGAAAGAAAGAAAGAGAUGGUCAAAACAAAAGAUAAAGAAGGAGUAAAUAAAACAGAGGCUCUCCUAGUUACUUGCUCAUUGAAAUAAUAUUCUAAAUAACGUUCGUAACGGAACAAAAGUCUAGAUAUGCAUCAAUGUAAUGAGAAAUAAUUUUACGUACAUAUACAUAAGAUUGACGCGCGCGCGGCUGCAGACAUGCGCGCGCACACACGCGCCAUUUCUUUACUUUUCGAACUACGGGCCUUCCGAGCCCAACCUUACCAGUGAUCCAUAUCGAUCUCGCAACACCGCGACUUGUUCCAUGACAUCGUAGAAUGUAUCGAAAGAUUGUAAUGUUUUAACAAUAUUUUCGAGUAACAGCUACUGUUAUAAAAAAAAAAAAUGAAAAAAAAGAUCCUUCCCUCUCUUUAUUAAUAUUUAUAAAUUCACGCUUUCUAGCAACAGAGUAUUGAUAUAGUAAUAAUGGAACUUUAACAUAAUCGAAUAAUAGAAAUUGUUAAAAGAAUAUUAUAAACAUUGAAAGUAGACCGUAGAAUCACUUUGCAACAUUGGUGCUUUUUGAAAGGAAAGGAAAAGAACAUUUCUAGAUUCUGCACUGAGAACACAACUCAUACUAUUUUCAACAAUUAAGCACGGUAUAUAUUUUUGAUUGAGAUAAAUUUGCGCUCUACGAUAGAUUUCUCUUAACCGAGGAUCCAUUAUAUUUAUAAUGCUAUUUAUUUUAUAAAAUUACAUACUCACUUGUAAAUUCAUUAAAAAUGAAAAAAUAGCUUUCAUUAAAAAAAUGUAUAAAGAAUUGUUCAUAGAAAGUUUUCUAAAUUACGUUUAUACAAAUAUAUCACAAAUAUUGAAAAAAAAUAUAUAUAUAUAUUGCGGUGGCGUGCGCAUGCCUGUUCGCAGCUAUACGUUCACGAAGGAUCACGAUUUCUAUAUUAUUAAGGUCGAUCGCUGUGAGCCGUACAAUUUACAGUGAGCAUGUACGACUUUAACAAUUAAAAGCUUAUAGCAGAAAAAAAACAAAACGAGUAUAUAGCAGCAGAAAAAGAAAAGAUACCACCCGAUACCUGACGCAUAACCAUCUUUAAAUGACGGCGAAUACAGCAUACAUUGUUACAUAAACGAGUAUAACGAGUAUAAGAAAAUCGUAUCGUUGCAUGACCGAUACCUAAAUGAAACUAUUACUACGUGAUACGACAUUAUUAUGUAAAAGUUUUUAUUGCGUGAGUAAAAUUAUAUUAUGGAUGAAAA